CUUCCUAUUAAUUGCUGACUGUUGUAACAUUCAGGAAAAAAAAUGUUCAAAUGCCUUGGUUAUUUUGUAAAAAAAACAAAAAACAAAAACUGUUUGACUUACAUGGUACAGUCAUGAUAAAAAAAUAUUGAAACUGUUGAGGAGUGUAGAUGAUAUCAUUCCAGAAAAAAACAGUUCUUUAUAAAUUGUUCUCUAAUUUUGAUCUCCAGUGUAUUUACAGAAUCAUCUCAGUAUAUUUGAGUGUUGUUGUUUGACAGUAGUGUUUAAUUCGCGUGGUAACUUCAGGGGCGACAUGGAUCCACACUCUUCCAUAGUUCAGCUCUUGACUUGGUUCAGCGCGCAUCACAGCGGAAACAACGAUACCGCGCCACCUUGUGGCUAAAGAAAGUACCGCAGCCACCUAAUCCUGCCAUGGAAAUAAUCUUGGUAUCAAAUUCUCAACAGAUAAACACAAACUUAUGUCACGAUGCCACAAUUCGGAAUUAAUUUAGGAAAACCCAAUAUAUUUUUAAAUUAUAUAUGAUUUUAAACUUAAUUAGAAAUAUGUAACUAACACUUAAGGAAGCUGGAAAUUGCGUUUGUAUUUCACACUACCAUAUUUAAUUUUGUAUUAAGUCGAAUAUAUUGAACAAUAUGUCGCUGCUUCAGGAAGUAGUUUACGGGGAGAGGGGCGGGUGGUGACGUCACUUCCGUGUCUAUCAGGCGCACCUGUGGUCCCGUGAUAGCUGUUAGCUCGGCGAGAAAGCGAGUUCUCGUCUCUUAUUUAUCAAAGUUCCUGAACAUGUGUGAGUUUAUCAACUUCUAAUAAAGGUAAACGGCAACGUCAUCGUAGAAGACAGAUGUCCCGCAUGGCUUCUUGAAGGUUGGGUGUCGAAGAAGAGCUUGGAGUCGCUCAUGUUGUGUGGCGCCAUGGAUUCCUUCUUUCCUCCGUGACGGUGCCAUCUCCCUCAGAGCUUCAUGCAUCAGGCGGGUCGUGGCGAGGCUGUGGCGGAAGGUUUCCAACUGUGGUCCACCAGUGGGCGCCCCACUGUGUCUUCACCAAGCCUCAUCUCUUGGACCAGGCAUCAUGAAGCUCAGCGGUCGCCUGAGCUGUGACGCCUCACUCCUGCUGGUCCAGUCAGUGUUGUGUCUGACAGCAGCUCCUGAAGUCAGGUCACCGUGGAAGCUGACCACUUGUGGCCUCAGGUAUCAAGUACCAGGAGGGUGACUUCAGCCAGAUGCACCCAGGGAGUCACUGGUGAACCACAGAGCUCAUGCUGUGUGUAGAACAGUGGCAGGAUCCACUGAGCGUCAGUGGGACAGGAAGCAGAUCGACCAGAUGGGAGACAAGUGUCCUGCAAGAGACAGAAUCAAUCAUCAGAGGCUUGAAGACCUGCAAAACAAGAUGUGAUUCAACUUGCAAAGAAACUCACCUGAAGCUGCAGAUCCUCACACUUGUGUCCAAUGAGCAAAUGUCUGUCAAUAAAAACAUGAUAAAAC